UACAGAGGUCUCAAGCGUUGUUCGGAUUCAUUGGGCGUAAAGGGUGCGUAGGUGGCGCUGUAAGUCGGGUGUGAAAUUUCGAGGCUUAACCUCGAAACUGCAUUCGAUACUGCGGUGCUUGAGGACUGGAGAGGAGACUGGAAUUCAUGGUGUAGCAGUGAAAUGCGUAGAGAUCAUGAGGAAGACCAGUGGCGAAGGCGGGUCUCUGGACAGUUCCUGACACUGAGGCACGAAGGCCAGGGGGAGCAAAACGGGG
rnacentral:rRNA from 1 species